rnacentral:rRNA from 1 species
AGAGUUUGAUCCUGGCUCAGGAUGAACGCUGGCGGUAUGCUUAACACAUGCAAGUCGAACGGAAUCUUUCGGGAUUUAGUGGCGGACGGGUGAGUAACGCGUGAGAAUCUGCCUUCAGGUUCGGGACAACAGUUGGAAACGGCUGCUAAUACCGGAUGUGCCGAGAGGUGAAAGCUUAAGUGCCUGGAGAUGAGCUCGCGUCUGAUUAGCUAGUAGGAGUGGUAACGGCACCCCUAGGCGACGAUCAGUAGCUGGUCUGAGAGGAUGAUCAGCCACACUGGGACUGAGACACGGCCCAGACUCCUACGGGAGGCAGCAGUGGGGAAUUUUCCGCAAUGGGCGCAAGCCUGACGGAGCAAGACCGCGUGAGGGAAGAAGGUCUGUGGAUUGUAAACCUCUUUUGAUCGGGAAGAAGACAGUGACGGUACCCAUCGAAUCAGCUCCGACUCCCGUC